AACGAACGCUGGCGGCAUGCCUAACACAUGCAAGUCGAACGAGAUCUUCGGGUCCCGUGGCGCACGGGUGCGUAACGCGUGGGAAUCUGCCCUUUGGUUCGGAAUAACAGUUGGAAACGACUGCUAAUACCGGAUGAUGACGAAAGUCCAAAGAUUUAUCGCCAGAGGAUGAGCCCGCGUAGGAUUAGCUAGUUGGUGUGGUAAAGGCGCACCAAGGCGACGAUCCUUAGCUGGUCUGAGAGGAUGAUCAGCCACACUGGGACUGAGACACGGCCCAGACUCCUACGGGAGGCAGCAGUGGGGAAUAUUGGACAAUGGGCGAAAGCCUGAUCCAGCAAUGCCGCGUGAGUGAUGAAGGCCUUAGGGUUGUAAAGCUCUUUUACCCGGGAUGAUAAUGACAGUACCGGGAGAAUAAGCUCCGGCUAACUCCGUGCCAGCAGCCGCCGUAA
rnacentral:rRNA from 1 species